CCUACGGGGGGCAGCAGUGGGGAAUAUUGGACAAUGGGGGGAACCCUGAUCCAGCCAUGCCGCGUGUGUGAAGAAGGCCCUCGGGUUGUAAAGAACUUUCAGUGAGGAAGAACGCCUGGUGGUUAAUACCCAUCAGGAAAGACAUCACUCACAGAAGAAGCACCGGCUAACUCCGUGCCAGCAGCCGCGGUAAUACGGAGGGUGCGAGCGUUAAUCGGAAUUACUGGGCGUAAAGCGCGCGUAGGUGGCUUGAUAAGCCGGUUGUGAAAGCCCCGGGCUCAACCUGGGAACGGCAUCCGGAACUGUCAAGCUAGAGUGCAGGAGAGGAAGGUAGAAUUCCCGGUGUAGCGGUGAAAUGCGUAGAGAUCGGGAGGAAUACCAGUGGCGAAGGCGGCCUUCUGGACUGACACUGACACUGAGGUGCGAAAGCGUGGGUAGCAAACAGGAUUAGAUACCCUGGUAGUC
rnacentral:rRNA from 1 species